CUGACGGUUGAUAUGAGUCAUCAUCUAUCCCACAUCAUAGAAUUAGGUUUUCUUUCUUCUGGCUUGAACUUGUCACAGCCGAUGGUACACAUGAGUGAGGAGGAGAUGAAAUUGUGAAUUCCUUUUAGAUCAUCGUCACCCUACAUAGAGGUAGGUUCGAUUUUGAUGGAGAUUAGACAAUGGAAGAUGAAGAAAGCAAGGAGAAGGAGAAGAGUUGAUGAUGGAAAGUAUGAAAUUUCCGUCAUCAACGAUAGUGUUUGGUCACAAUCAGAGAAGAUGGUGGAACAAAAAGGACCAAUUUUCCCUUGUGAGUGGUUAGGUGAGGCAGCUUAGAUGACAGGAUAGAUCAUCCCGAUUUUGGAAGAAGGUUGCUUGAGAAGGACUGUUGUCAGAUGUGGAGCAGUAGUCGCAGAGAAGAUGAUGCACUAUUUGGUCAUUGAUUUCAUCCUUGUAUGACAUUAGGAGAUCAAGGUUCGGGUUCUGCGUUUGUGGGAGAUGUUUCCAGUUGGUGAUAUAGCGAAACCAUAUGCCAUGAAUCUGGUGUUAAUAGAUUCAUAGGGUCUGAAAAUUGAAGCUUCCAUCAACAAGAACUUCAUUUCCAAAUUCACAAGUCAAUUGGCUGAGGGGAAUGUUUACAAGAUCACAUAUUUUUCUGUUGGUGAGAAUGGUGGUGCAUUUCAGGCCACUGAGCAUGAGUUCAAGAUAUUUUUUAAUGGAAGGACACGUGUAGUUACUGACUCUUCUGAGAUCAUCCCAUAUGUUGGAUUAACAUUGAAGAACUCAUUUGACAUUGCAGCUACCAUGGGGAAAGUGAUUAUCUUAUAG